rnacentral:lncRNA from 1 species
AGAUUCAGGGGGCUUUGCUCUGCAGAUGAUGAACAAUGGAAUCAAACAUUUAAGCUGUGAAUAAAUAAUUACUCAUUUCUCUGAUCUUUUGCGGCAAGACACCAACACCUGUCUUUAUUUUAAUUCAUUUCCCAGUGUGUUGUGGCGAGGAUGAAAUAGUGUAUCCUAGGAUGCCAGGGGAAUCCACCGUCUGCCACCGCGAGCGUGAGAAGCCAAUCACCUAUCACUGGUAUCACUGGCAUCCCGGCCAUAUAUACCCUAGAGUUGCAUCAAUGGAAGGUGUUGUGGAAAUUCAGUCAUUCAGUUCAUUCAUGAUAUGAUUUCUAGAUUCUUCAGUGUCUCAUAUUUCAGACAAUUAUAAAAUUGCGAUGCUAUAUUCUUUAUUUCAUGUGUGCAUAUUUAAAUGUGUUAAGUCAAUCACUAGUGCUACAACCAGAGGAGUAAAGGUGUAUUUCCAUUCCAGAUUUGGGUUUACUUUUAAUAGUAAAUAACAUCUCAGUGCAAAUUGUAGACAUUUUGCUGAUUGUUAAAACAUUAAUUAAAAAGGAUCUUUUUCUGAGACAGUGUUGCCAGGUUUGUAAAGUAAUGGACAUCACUUCAAACUGUUUGGAAGUAACCGAAAAAUGGAGGAAGUGGCAACAAAACUUUCCAUAUACCCACCUUCCUCAGUAUUUUUUGGUGAUCCCAUCUUUGUGAGUGUGAUAACGCUCGUAACAAUGACUGAGCCAAUAGUGAUACAUUCUUAUGAACAGAAGUCCAAGGUUAGCAUCAGUGACUGAGCCAAUAGUGAUACAUUCUUAUGAACAGAAAUCUAGGGUUAGCAUCAAGGUUCACUCUGUGUUGUCCAGCCUAUGGGUUUUGACAAACUGACAAUGUCUUUUGUCACCCUGACGGAAUAAUUUCACAUCCUACACAUGACCUGAGCUGCAUCUACUAAUUCCUCUCCUUUUCUGAGGAUUCCUGACAACUAUGGAUGAUUUUACUGCCUCUAUAGGUUUCCUUUUCCAGAAUUGUAUAGAGUUGGAAUCAUAGAGUAUGUAGCUACGUAUAACUAACUUAUUUUACUUAGCAAUAUACAUGUAAGAUCUUUUGUAUCGUUUUGAAGCUUAACAGCUUAAUAAUUCUUAUCAGUGAACAAUAGUCCAUUGGUUUCAUCGAACAGGGUUAGUUGGUUCACUCACUGCCUGAAGACCAUCUGAGCUGCUUCCAAUUUGGGUAAUUAUGAAUAAAGCUGCCCACAUUCUUGUGCAGAUUUUAAGAUGAACAUAAUUUUCUAAUUUAGCUGGGUAAAUAUGUAGAAUUUUGAUCACUUGCUGGUAAGACUAUGUUUUCCAUUGUGUUAGGCAGAAUUCACCAGUACAAUUAUGUGGGCAUUUUUUUUUAAGUUAUUACUUCCUGAUUAAAUUCUAUAAUGAUAGAGGCCUACUCAGAUUAUCUAUCUCUCCUUUGGGUGGUUAUGGUAGUUUCUCCCUUUGAAGGCAUUUGUCCAUUUCAUCUAAGCUAGGAAAUUUGUGGGUGUAGACACUUGAAUCUGACAAGUUGCCUGCUUGGUUCUCAUCAAAGGCUACUGUGCUUCCUGUCAUUCCUACUCUCAAACUUUUCAAUAGACUUUCACUCCUGCACUUAAAAAAUUGCAGGCAUAGAUUUGUUGAAAGUAUUCUGUUAUUAUUUUCUUAAUGAUUAUGGGAUCAGCAAGGAUAAUUCCUCUUCUAUUCAUAUUGUUUGUACAUCGUGUCUUCUGUAUUUUCUUUGUGAUUAGCCUUGCUGGAGGUUUACCAAUUCUAUUGAUCUUUUCUAAGAAGCAGCUUUUGGUUUUGUUGAGUUUCUUUAUUUUAUUAUUUCUAUUACAUUGAUUUCUGCAAAUAUUGUUAUAUUUUGGGGGAGGAGUGUUGCCUGGUUUACAUUACACUACACUUUUUUCUCUAGUUUCCUAAGGUGGAAAGUAAGACAUCUGGAUUUGGAUUACAUUUAGUUUACUGCACAGAAUUGUGAAUGGCACUGAUGCCCCUGAAGUGUGCACUUGAUUAUUAAAAUAAUAAAUAUGAUGUAUUUUGGCCACAAUACUGAUUUUAAAGCCAAUUAAAUGGAUGAUAAGUACAGGAGGAGCAUAUGUAGAUCAAGGAAAGAUAAAUGACAUUAUAACAUUUCAACAACAAAAGAAAUUUACCGGGCCUCAAAAUGCACAAGGGGGUGAUGGGACACUGUCAUGAAAUCAGCAGUGCAUUUGUGUGCCACCCUGUGUGAACUCUGCCUUUUUUGCAGUGGUGUGGGGGCUUAGCCAGAGAACCAGGUCCUGACUUCUGUGGCUUCCUGAUGGUCUCAUUUGCCUUCCCUCAUCACCCAGGAGGGUGUCCCAGUGGCAGCCAAGUUUCUACCCUUAACCCACCUCCUUUACACAUGCCAGCCCCCUGUCCUUAGCAUCCAAGGUUGCCUAAGGGAUUCCUUCAGUGGAACCAACAUGAUGACAGUUACUCUGUGUUUCCUAGAUUACGAUGAGGACCUGGUGCAGGAAGCUUCAUCUGAAGAUGUCCUGGGCGUUCAUAUGGUGGACAAAGACACAGAGAGAGACAUUGAGAUGAAACGGCAACUACGGCGACUACGGGAGCUCCACCUAUACAGCACAUGGAAGAAGUACCAAGAGGCGAUGAAGACAUCCUUGGGAGUUCCACAAUGUGAGCGUGACGAAGGCUCCUUGGGCAAGCCAUUGUGUCCACCCGAGAUACUCUCGGAGACGUUGCCAGGCUCUGUGAAGAAAAGGGUAUGCUUUCCAUCAGAAGAUCAUCUAGAGGAGUUUAUAGCAGAACAUCUCCCUGAAGCAUCCAAUCAGAGUCUCCUCACUGUUGCCCAUGCAGACACAGGCAUCCAAACCAACGGUGACCUGGAAGACCUGGAGGAGCAUGGGCCAGGGCAGACAGUCUCUGAGGAAGCCACAGAAGUUCACAUGAUGGAGGGGGACCCAGACACACUGGCCGAACUUCUGAUCAGGGAUGUACUUCAGGAGCUGUCCAGUUACAACGGCGAGGAGGAGGACCCAGAGGAGGUGAAGACAUCCUUGGGAGUUCCACAACGUGGUGACCUGGAAGACCUGGAGGAGCAUGUGCCAGGGCAGACAGUCUCUGAGGAAGCCACAGGGGUUCACAUGAUGCAGGUGGACCCAGCCACGCCGGCAAAGAGUGACCUGGAAGACCUGGAGGAGCAUGUGCCAGGGCAGACAGUCUCUGAGGAAGCCACAGGGGUUCACAUGAUGCAGGUGGACCCAGCCACACUGGCAAAGCAAUUGGAAGACUCCACCAUUACAGGCAGCCACCAGCAGAUGUCAGCAAGUCCUUCCUCUGCACCUGCAGAAGAAGCAACAGAAAAGACCAAAGUGGAAGAGGAAGUGAAAACCAGAAAGCCCAAGAAGAAAACCAGGAAGCCCAGCAAGAAAAGCCGGUGGAAUGUCCUGAAAUGUUGGGACAUUUUUAAUAUAUUUUAGAGACCUCUGAAGAUUCCUCGACCACCAGGAAGGGCCCCGACGUGGGGAUGUCAACAUGGCUCAGACUUGAUGUGGAUCGUGAUCAUUUCGGGAAAUGUGUUACUCCAAAAACUUUUAUAAUCUUUGCUUAAUUUGUUUUUAAAUACUUUCCUGGCUGGGCGUGGUGGCUUAUGCCUGUAAUCCCAGCACUUUGGGAGGCCGAGGCGGGUGGAUCACCUGAGGUCAGGAGUUAAAGACCAGCCUGGCCAACAAGGUGAAACCCCGUCUCUACUAAAAAUACAAAAAUUAGCUAGGCGUGGUGGCGCACUCUUGUAGUCCCAGCUAUUUGGGAGGCUGAGGCAGGAGAAUCACUUGACCUCAGGAGGCGGAGGUUGCAGUGAGCCGAGAUCAUGCCACUGCACCCCAGCACCUGGCUACAGAGUGAGACUUUGUCUCAAAAAAAAAAAAAAAAGAACAAAAAAAUUCUGACUUUAACCUCUGUUUUUCAGAGGGCACAAAUUGUUCUUGUAUUGUUUCCAUUUUACAUUUUUUUCUUGAAGUUAUUUUCCAAUUGUUUUCAUUCUUUCUGAAGUUUUGUUUACUCGGUUUUAAGUUUUUGUAAUUUUGAUAGACUUUUGUGCUUUCAUUUUCUUAAUGACUUUUACCUCAUUUUUAAAACAAAUCCAUAGUAUGGUAAGUUACAUCAAUAUGGAGUAUUUUUAUGUUUUGUGGUGAUUUACAUUCUGUAUGUAUUUUACAUAUAUAAAUGUUAAUGGCCUGGUGCAGGGGCUACCACCUGUAAUCUCAGCAGUUUGGGAGACCAAAGCAGGACAAUUGCUUGAUCCCAGGAGUUUAAGACCAGCCGGGGCAACAUAGUGAGACCUCAUCCCUACAAAAAAAAAAAAUCCUUUAAUUAGCUGGGCAUGGUAGCAUCCAUCUGUAGCCCCAGCUACUUGGGAGGCUGAGGCAGGAGGAUUGGUUGAGCCUAGGAGGUUGAGGCUCCAGUAAGCCAUGACUGCACCACUGCACUCCAGCCUGGGUGACAGAGCAAGACCCUGUCUUAAAAAAGAAAAGUUUAUUAACGUGAAUAUCAGUUAGAAAUCUAGUUGUUCAUUGCAAAACUAAACCAGUUUAUAGCAGAAAUAAGCACUUGGAGGGAAAUGUUACAUUUUCACUGCAGGCCUUGAAUCCUUAGCCACCAGCUCCGUGUCCUUCAGUGUUCUGUGGUUCCUGGUUCCAGAGAGAUCACCUGCUCCAAUGUAACGAGUGAAGAGUUCUUUAGGUGAUGGCUGCUGGGCCCAGCUUUGCUGUUGUCUUUGCUGUCUUGUAAGCUUUGUGUCGCUCAAGUUCAGUUGUGUAUGAGUGUACUAACCACUGUGAGCUUCUCCAAGCAUGUGCAAGCAAUUUGAGAGGAGCCUAAUGUUUGCAAGGAAUUUGAGAGGAGCCUUUUAAGGAUGUUUUAUUGGCGGGGGUCAGGUGAGGGAGAUAACACGGGGGCAAGAAGGAAAGUUAUUAAUUCAUGGGAAACUACCAGCCCUUCAUCACCUAACUUGUGAUUUACAGACACUGAGCACAUUGCAGGUUGAGAAGGUGCUUGGUCCUUUUUGUAGCCUUAUGCUGUGCUCUUCAGAGCCGUGAGUGUGCUGCUUUUUCUCACCAUUUUGUUUCUUGUAGAUUGUUUUCCUUGAUGCUGGAAAACAUUUUGAAGACAAGACUCUAAACAGUGACCUAUGCCACACUAGUUUAUUGGAAAAUGAGAAACUUACAUUACUGACAAGCUUGGAAGAUUCUUCAGUCCUGCAGUGACCUGUGUUUCCCUGGUCUUUACCUUACCAAUCUGCUUGAUUCUCCUUUCUUGUGGCAGUAGUUAUGAUGCCAACUUUUGGGGUUCUUUGUCCUCCUCUUUUCUUCCUACCUGCCAGCAUUCAAAUGGCCACUUCUAUUAAGUGAUGGAAUUCAAGAAUGUAUUUAUUUAUUAAUCCUGAUAUUGUUUCACUCAUCCCUCAGUUUAACAUUUAGGGUACAAAGUAGUCACCUAGAGGUGCCACUCAAUAUACAGCACUGUGUUUAGAAAUUGAGGGAGCCAUGAAAUAUUUAGCCUCUGCUCUCUGAGACCUCAGCCAGGUGCAAAGAAGAGAUGCAGAACCACAUUUCAGAUUGUGUUGUGUACAACCAGCAGCACCAAAAUGUGCCUGGGAAUCAUGGGGGUCAGAAAUUUACCUCUGAGGCAGGUAUGGCUGAAGCUUUACGAAAAGAGAUGGGGCCCGUGCCAGGCCUUAGACGUGCGAGAAGGAGGGCGUGUCAGGAAGCAGAAACAGUAUCAGCAAAGGCGCUGCUGGGAGGCAUGUGGGCAGUGUUUGGGGAACGGCCAGGGGCUUUCUGUGUCAGGUUUACAGCAUCUGUGGGAGGCUGCGUUGGUAAAUAAGCCCAGAGAAGUAGGCUGGGGCUACUUACAUUAAAAGUAUGCAUGGCUUGAAGGCCAGCUGAGUGGUAUAAAUAGAAACUACAAAUAGUAUCACAUUUAUUGAGGACAGCUUGUGCUGCCAAAAGAGUUUUUAAAAUUUUUUUGGAUUGUGUAAUUGGUGGAUAAAGAAUUAUUGACCUAAAUGUAUCUGAUCUUAGAGUGUUUUAGUAUGCUAGAUUAUUGGAGGUGAAAUGGCUAAGUCAAAGGUGAUGAGUGUUUUUGAGACUCUUAAUGUUAAUUGCAAAAUUAACCUCUAAAAAGGUAGGCCGGGCGCACUGGCUCACGCCUGUAAUCCCAGCACUUUGGGAGGCCGAGGCGGGCGGAUCACGAGGUCAGGAGAUUGAGACCAUCCUGGCUAACACGGUGAAACCCCGUCUCUACUAAAAAUACAAAAAGUUAGCCCGAUGUGGUGGCAGGUGCCUGUGGUCCCAGCUACUCAGGAGGCUGAGGCAGGAGAAUGGUGUGAACCCAGGAGGUGGAGCUUGCAGUGAGCCGAGAUCACGCCACUGCACUCCAGCCUAGGUGACAGAGUGAGACUCCACCUCGGAAAAAAAAAAAAAAAGCCAGUGCCAACUUAGACCAUGACUGAGAGCUCUUGGUUUAUCUUAUCCUUGCCGAGCUGGGUGUUACAACAUUGAAGCCUUCUGCAGUGUCCUCCCUCCCUUUUUCUCUCUUUCUCUCUCUCUCCUCCCUUUCUUCCUUUUACUUCUCUUAUGAUAGGCUCGUCUGUACUUUUUUGAUAGAGGUAACCAUUUGCCACACCAUUUUCUGAAGGGCCUGCUCUCUUCCCCAUUCAUUUGUGAUGGCACAUUUAUCCUACCCUAAGCUUUGAUAACGUGUCAGGAUCUUUCUGUCCUGUCCUCUCAAAGAGGUUAAAUAUUUUUUUAUAAUGACUUAUAAUUGACUGAAGUUAUAACAAGCCUGUUUUAUUUUUUCUUAAUUUUAUUAAAGGAUGAUAUUGAUGAUGAAAUGUCUUACGAUGAUCAUUUAGAGGUUUAUUUUGAACAACUGGCAAUUCCAGGAAUGAUGGAAUAAAGCAUACGAAGUAGAAGGACUGGAACCUCCAGAAAAAGUACUUUAAGUUACCUACAGGUGAUCCUAGUCAGGCAAAUGAAAACAGUAGCCUAAAGUGUCAGUUUCAACCAGAAAAUAACAGCUCUGAUUUCUCAUGGCUCAUACUCGUCUGAAACGACUCAGGUAGAGGCUGAGGAAGGCCGUGUUGUUUGUCUACCUGGGACUACACCUACUGAAAGAAGUUCUCAAGUUCUGAUUGAGUUCUAAAAUUUUUUGAAGAUUGGAAUUCUUCAUAUGUAAAAAGAGAAGAGAAAGACAUUCUUGAUUUUGGUGACUAGAGUUGUAGAUGCUGGAAGCUUUGCCACUAACAUUGAUGAACCAGAUGCAUGUCACCAGCCCAUCACGGUGAUUCUUAAUGCCGGCACCAUGGGCCCGGCACUGCCACGUUUUCCAAGGAACCUGCCGGAGCUCCUGCGGAAGCUGCUCCUCAGGCGAUGGAGUCCCUUCGCUGGUAGGCCCUUCUUCAGUCACCACAGGAUGCCUGCCAUUCAUGAACAAGAAGGAGAGGACGGGCUUUGAAUAAAAAACAGGUGGAGUCUCACUCUGUUGCCUGGGCUGGAGUGCAAUGGUGUGAUCACUGCUCACUGCAACCUCCGCCUCCUGGGUUCAAGCAGUUCUCCUGCCUCAGCCUCCCAAGUAGCUGCAAUUACAGGUGCAUGCCACCACUCCCAGCAAAUUUUUAUAUUUUUAGUGGAGACAGGGUUUCACCAUGUUGACCAGGCUGGUCUCAAACUCCUGACCUCAGGUGAUCUGCCCACCUUGGCCUCCCAAAGUUCUGGGAUUAAAGGUACGAGCCACCGCAACUGGCUGAGAAUCUUUUUAUUUGCUGAUUUGUCUCUUGUGUAUUUUCUUUGUUCAGAUGUCUCUUCAGAUCUUUUUCUCACUUUUAAAUUGUUUUUUAAUUGUUAAGAAUUUUCUGUCUAGUUUAGAUAUAAGCCCUUUAUCAGACAUGUGUUUUGCAAAUAUUUUCUCCUAGUCUGUGGCUUGUAUUCUGUCUCUUAACACUCAUUUUAUUUUUACUUUUGGAACUAAAGAAGAAGAAUGGUCAGCUUUCCAUUAUUCUUGUAACAGUAAUGGCAGAACCAAGUCUGCUAAUGCUACACUGAGCAAAGAAAGUCACCUGGUGAAGUCCAACAUUAAUGAAAUGGGGUAGUACAUGCAGGCAGCGUUGGGGGUGGGGAGGGAACAAAUGCUUCUUGAGAGUAAUAUAAUCUGCCAUACCAUCCAGGAACCUACAAUGGCUAUCUAUUACCUUAUUCUCUGGUUUGUUUAAUGUUCGAAUCUUUCCGAAAGAUCCUUCAACCUUUCUGGAAGAAUCUAAUCUGAUAACACCAUCAAAAACACAUUACUUCUUUUGGCAUAAUUUAAAUUGUAAGACAUCAUUCACAUUUAUCAAUGUUACAUAUAUAAGAACUCACCCACCAUAUUCUUCCUUGAGGAAUUACAGCAUGUAAUUCUAUAAUCAUUUUUAUAAUCGUCUAACAAUUUUAUAAUGGAUUGGUUGCUUACUAUCAAUUUUUUAAAAGUCAUGGCUUCUCCAGUCAUUUCUUGCUUAUCGAAAUUAUUUCAUGAGAUGGGUCUCUCCUUGUAUAUUUGAAAAUGAGGUUUGCUUCCUUCUACUUAAAAAACAACUUGAACAUACCUGUUUGGAUCACAUGGUCUUGUCCUGAUAACUUGGAAGAGGUUGCUUCAGCAUUGUUCUUAUUGUUGUGGUGGUUAUUAUUAAUAUUGUUUCAUAUUCUGUUUAAAAAAUUAAAAUUUUACACAAGACCAAUGUCUUCUUUUCAAUUCCAGUACAUUUUUCAGAAGUAACUAAUGCUAUUGGCUUUGUGCAUUGUAAUUUCAGACCAUUUUAUAUGUCUUUAGUUAUAUGUACAGUAUACACACAUAUGUGUCAUAUUAUUCCAUUUUUUCUAGCAUUAAACAUUGCUAUGGAAAACUCUCGGAAAAAUAUUUAUUUGAACAGAACUUUUUCUUUUCUCAGAUGUACCCUCCUUAGGAAUCUUUCUUUGAUCCUUGAAGUUUGGUAACAACUUUAAAUAUGUGUAUCCCAGCUGGGAGCAGCGGCUCACACCUGUAAUUUCAGCACUUUGGGAGGCCGAGGAGGGUGGAUCACCUGAGGUCAGGAGUUUGCCUGGCCAACAUGGUGAAACCCCGUCUUUACUGAAAAUACAAAAAGUUAGCCAGGUGUGGUGGCUGGCACCUGUAAUCCCAGCUACAUGGGAGGCUGAGGCAGGAGAAUCGCUUGAACCUAUAGAGACAAGGUUUCACCAUGUUGACCAGGCUGGUCUCGAACUCCUGACCUCAGGUGAUCCACCCACCUCAGCCUCCCAAAAUGCUGGGAUUACAGGCAUGAGCCAUUGCACCCAGCCAUACAGGAGCAAGUUUAAAAAUUAAAUAUUUAUUUGAAUAACAAGCUUACAUUGGAGCUGCAAUGUUGGCAAUCCAGAUUUUGAACACGGAUCACAAAAAGCAUGCAUAAAAUCCUACUGGCCCAGAGAACAAAACACUGCUCAGAAUUAAGCGAAAUAGCUGCUACUGUUAAGAAAACAGGCCUGAAAUCAAUAUACAAGAUUUUAAAAAAUGUAUUGGCCGGAUGCAGUGGCUCAUUCCUGUAAUUCCAGAACUUUGGGAGGCCAAGACAGGAGAAUCACCUGAGGUCAGGAGUUCAAGACCAGCCUGGCCAACAUGGUGAAACUCCAUCUCUACUAAAAAUAAAAAAUUAGCUGGGUGUGGUGACACAUGCCUGUAGUCCCAGCUACCUGGGAGGCUGAGGCAGAAUAAUUUCUCGAACCCAGGAGGAGGAGGUUUGCAAUGGCAUGAUCUCUGCUCACCGCAACCUCCGCCUCCCGGGUUCAAGCAAUUCUCCUACUUCAGCCUCCCGAGUAGCUGGGAUUACAGGCAUGUGCCACCAUGCCUGGCUACUUUUCUGUAUUUUUAGUAGAGACAGAGUUUCUCCAUGUUGGUCAGGCUGGUCUUGAACUCACAACCUCCGGUGAUCUGCCUGCCUCGGCCUCCCAUAGUGCUGGGAUUACAGGCAUGAGCCACCAUGCCUGCCCAUGAAAGCACUUUUAAAAAGAGAGCACCUCUGCUGCCUGGUCAUAUUCUGUACCUGUUCCCAAACCCUGAAACCAGUGAUGUCAAUGGCUGCGUGGGCAUUGAACGUGUACAUGAUUCCUGCAGCUUUCCUGUUGACCUGGACCAUGUUCAUCAAUGCUUUUUGGUACAUUAAUUCUACAUCUUCUUCGGUGACCACAGUUUAUGUUUAUUUCAUUUUUCAGGAAUAUCCAGCCACUGGUGCACAGCCAUUGCCACUUGUGCCCCCAGGGGAUCUUGUCAACUCCAGUAUGUCCCCCCAGCACUGUGUUAUCUGGCAUAAUAAAUGUAGUUGGGCUGUAGUUGUAGUGACUCCUCCCAAAACAACCCAGGAGUUUAAUACUGUUUGGCCACCGGUUACAGACAUUGCUGCCCCUUCCGCUGCGGCUUUAAAAGCCUAUCUAAUCGGCUGGGUGUGAUGGUGGCUCAGACCUAUAAUCCCAGCACUUUGGGAGUCCAAGGUGGGUGGAUCACCUGAGGUCAGGAGUUUGAGACCGGCCUGGCCAACAUGGUGAAACCCCAUCUCUACUAAAAAUACAGCAAAUUAGCUGGGCGUGGUGGCGCAUGACUGUAAUCCCAGCUACUCGGGAGGCUGAGGUAGGAGAAUUGCUUGGGUGGCAGAGUAAGACUCCGUCCCAAAAAAAAAAGUUAUCUAAUCAGGGACGUCACCUUUCCCUGCCAGUCAUUUUGUUACCAAUGAAAGAAAACAUAUUCAAAUCAAUUUUUAGUUCAGAAAAUGUUUCUUUCAUUGUAUCUUUGAAUUUUAUUGUUCUGCAUUUUUUACUUCAAAAACACCUACUAUAUGCAUUUUUUCUCUCGUUUCCUUUUUUUUCCAAGAAAUGUUUUUGUCCUUUUGAUUUUUUCACUGACCAUUACCAUUAUUUAUAUACCAUGUACCUGGAGAGUUUCCAAUGUUUCUCUUUGGUCUGAGAUACUUGCUAUGAUUUUCACUUUUUAAAUGCUCUUUUGAGAUUUGUUUUGUGGCCUAAAAUGUGGUCUAUCCUGGAGAAUGUUCUGUGAGCUGAUGAGAAGAAUGCACGUUCUGCAGUUGGUGGGUGAAAUGUUCUGUAAUUACCUGUGAGGUCCCUUUGACUUCUCUUGGAGUCAGUCUGGUCUGUUACUUUUCUGCCUAGAGGGUGUGUCUGUUGCUGAAAGUGGGUGUUGGAGUCCCCAGCUAUUAUUGUCUGUCUCUGUCUGUUGCUCGAAUAACUCUUACUUUAAUAACUGGGGCUCCUGUGUCAGGUGUGUUUACAUUGACAACUGUCCUACCUUCUUGCUGAAUUGAUCUCUUUAUCGUUUUAUAAUGACCUUUAUUUUCUAUUUUUGUGCUUUUUUGACUUAAAGCCUACUUUGUGUGACAAGCAUAGCUAUACAUACUCACUUUUGGUAACACUUUUCAUUUCUUAUCAUCUUCAUUGAAUCUCACUUCUUCACAUUUACCAAAAUGUCUACUUUUGAGCUGUGGCACCUCUUUGAAUCUUCAGAUCCACCACAUGCUGAUCAAGCCUUCCUUUUUGUCUGUACUCUGAGGAAUCCCAAACAGGCAUUUUUGCAAGAAAGUCUAGGAGGGAAACAUAAAUCUAUGUGUCAAAAAAAUGAACAUAGAAAAUAAUGUGUCCUGGUUAACAAAAGUUCUCAUUGUAAAGUGUUAGGCACAAGACUAUGGAAUUUCAUGUGCCAUAAAUAAAAUUGUCUUGAUUUGUCUAAAACUACAUUUUGUCUAAAACUACUUUUAAAAAUUACAUGUUACUCUAAUA